rnacentral:rRNA from 1 species
GACAGAGGGGGCAAGCGUUGCUCGGAAUCACUGGGCGUAAAGGGCGCGUAGGCGGCCCGCUAAGUCGAACGUGAAAUCCCCAGGCUCAACCUGGGAACUGCGUCCGAUACUGGCAGGCUUGAAUCCGGGAGAGGGAUGUGGAAUUCCAGGUGUAGCGGUGAAAUGCGUAGAUAUCUGGAGGAACACCGGUGGCGAAGGCGGCAUCCUGGACCGGUAUUGACGCUGAGGCGCGAAAGCUAGGGGAGCAAACGGG